AAAACACCUUUUUCCUUUCUCUCUCAUCUAGUUACAGAUCAAAACACCACAAAAUGAUGAACACUUCAUGAAUACUCAUGAACAUUCAUGAACACAAAAUCACAGAAAUCACAUAAACAACAACAAUUUUCUUUUGAUUCACAUAUUCCGAAUUUCAGUAGAAAUAACAUUAAUCAUCCUCAUCGAUUCCAUCACACAAAUCCAACUCAAACCGAACCGGAUCUAAGCAAAACGAACCGAACCGGAGCAAAAAGGGAAGCAAAUCGGACAGGAUUCGAGCUAGAUCGGAGGAAUUUAGCAAGAAGGAAGUGAAUCCGAGCUUAAAGUAGUAGAUCCAGACUUCUCAGAUUUGAAACCGAAGGUAAUUUCACUCAAACUUUCUUUGCUAGAUCUAGCUCAAAUCUCUCUACCCUUUUAAAAAAUAACACCGGAUUUGUAUAGAGGAGAAGGAGAAGAAGCUUUUGAUGUAAAAAAAAUUCAAAAA
rnacentral:lncRNA from 1 species